rnacentral:rRNA from 1 species
GGAAUUGCAUUUCAGACUGGGUAACUAGAGUACUUUAGGGAGGGGUAGAAUUCCACGUGUAGCGGUGAAAUGCGUAGAGAUGUGGAGGAAUACCGAAGGCGAAGGCAGCCCCUUGGGAAUGUACUGACGCUCAUGUGCGAAAGCGUGGGGAGCAAACAGGAUUAGAUACCCUGGUAGUCCACGCUGUAAACGCUGUCGAUUUGGGGGUUGGGGUUUAACUCUGGCGCCCGUAGCUAACGUGAUAAAUCGACCGCCUGGGGAGUACGGCCGCAAGGUUAAAACUCAAAUGAAUUGACGGGGGCCCGCACAAGCGGUGGAGCAUGUGGUUUAAUUCGAUGCAACGCGAAGAACCUUACCUACUCUUGACAUCCUAAGAAGAGCUCAGAGAUGAGCUUGUGCCUUCGGGAACUUAGAGACAGGUGCUGCAUGGCUGUCGUCAGCUCGUGUUGUGAAAUGUUGGGUUAAGUCCCGCAACGAGCGCAACCCUUAUCCUUUGUUGCCAGCGA